rnacentral:lncRNA from 1 species
CUGAGUGUAAACAAUUGUGGUCCCUUGACAAUUGACAUGAUUUAGCAAAAACUAUAUGAGAGAUUUAUAUGCACUCUCACUCUCAGUCUCACACAAUCCACAAAAAGAAAAAAGAAAAAAAGGUAAUUGAGCUGAUACAGAGACCCUUUAUCAAGUUCAUCAAGUCAAGUGCACUUCCUCACCCUAAACACCUCAUCUUCAACCAGCCACCCUUAUGAUGCCACGUGGCAUGCCAAAUAUCCAAACAGCAAGAAAUGCCCACCAAGCUUCUUCCAUACCUCUGCCUAUCACAAAUGCCAUCACCUCAUCAACAAUUCCAUC